UACGAAGGGGGCUAGCGUUGUUCGGAUUUACUGGGCGUAAAGCGCACGUAGGCGGAUUGUUAAGUGAGAGGUGAAAUCCCGGAGCUCAACUCCGGAACUGCCUUUCAUACUGGCAAUCUAGAGUCCGGAAGAGGUGAGUGGAACUCCUAGUGUAGAGGUGGAAUUCGUAGAUAUUAGGAAGAACACCAGUGGCGAAGGCGGCUCACUGGUCCGGUACUGACGCUGAGGUGCGAAAGCGUGGGGAGCAACAGG
rnacentral:rRNA from 1 species